rnacentral:pre_miRNA from 1 species
UUAACUCAAAUUUCUAUGCAGUUGGAACAGCGCCCCUAGCGGCAAACGUAGACAAACGUUCCAACUCCUUACAAAUUUGAGUUA